AGUGGCGAACGGGUGAGUAAUGCAUCGGAACGUGCCCAGUAGUGGGGGAUAACCAGUCGAAAGACUGGCUAAUACCGCAUACGACCUACGGGUGAAAGCGGGGGACCGUAAGGCCUCGCGCUAUUGGAGCGGCCGAUGUCUGAUUAGCUAGUUGGCGGGGUAAGAGCCCACCAAGGCGACGAUCAGUAGCUGGUCUGAGAGGACGACCAGCCACACUGGGACUGAGACACGGCCCAGACUCCUACGGGAGGCAGCAGUGGGGAAUUUUGGACAAUGGGCGCAAGCCUGAUCCAGCCAUGCCGCGUGCGGGAAGAAGGCCUUCGGGUUGUAAACCGCUUUUGGCAGGAACGAAACGGCGCAAGCCAAUACCUUGCGCUAAUGACGGUACCUGCAGAAUAAGCACCGGCUAACUACGUGCCAGCAGCCGCGGUAAUACGUAGGGUGCAAGCGUUAAUCGGAAUUACUGGGCGUAAAGCGUACACAGGCGGCUUUGCAAGACAGGUGUGAAAUCCCCGGGCCUAACCUGGGAACUGCAUUUGUGACUGCAUCGCUAGAGUCUGUCAGAGGGGGGUGGAAUUCCACGUGUAGCAGUGAAAUGCGUAGAGAUGUGGAAGAACACCGAUGGCGAAGGCAGCCCCCUGGGAUGAGACUGACGCUCAUGUACGAAAGCGUGGGGAGCAAACAGGAUUAGAUAACCUGG
rnacentral:rRNA from 1 species